rnacentral:lncRNA from 1 species
CCACCAACUCUUGCCAUUCAUAUUAUUCUGGCUAUCACAGAUGGAUUAAUAGCAUCAUCUUAUAUUUAUCUACAUGAAAAUUAGGGGGAAAAAAGACAUACAAACUGUAUGAAAAUGAUACCUUAAAGCUCAUAUUUACAGUAUAGUACUCUGUAAACACACAAGCCUAUUAGCUAAAGUCAGCUCUUGUCCUAUCGCCAUCCAGCUGUACAGUCUUGGGCAAAUCAUUUGUUUCCUCAUUUUUAAAUUACCUAUCACCUGACUCUUCUAACUCAUAGACUCAAUUGGAUGCAUGCAAAAAUACCUCUAAAAAUACCAUGCAGUUUAAGUGUGAAAUAAGUUACUAUAAAGUGCUUUAUUUAUGACUAGCCUUCCUCUUUUUAGAGUAACACCAUUCAUAGUUCAGUAAAAGUCAUUUGUUUGCAAAGUGACUCUUUUAAAAGGAAGUCUUCGGCACUAGUCUUACCAACAGUCUGGCAGGAUCUGAAGCCAGUGGCUUAACCUUUAGGAACAGAAUAUGC